GUACUUUCUGAAAGCUUUUCUCAUGCCAUGGCAAAGGUGCUGGAUUGGCAGCUUUGGACUCUGUGAUCACACCCCAAUUUCAGCAAACAGAUUUUAGCCAGCACAGCUCCACUGUUUUUCUAGAGGGGAUGCCAGGCGGUGAUUUCUGCUGACACAGCUGACCCACUCAAGUGCACAUUGCCAGUUUCAACCCACCCUGGACUGUUUUACUUCAUUGGAGAAAGACCAGGGAUGGAGCAGGGAAUGGGGCUAAAUCCAUCUGAGCGCAAAGAUUUCUGGAAGAGGAUUUGCAGAGGCAGAGUCCUUUAGCUGAACAUCUUCGGGGCCAAUCAAUCUAUUGCUAAAAAUAAACAUUUUGUUU